UUCUGUUCUUCCAUUCAGUUCGUCAGUCAGUUGAUGUGGCCAUUUACCCGACUUGGUGAAUCAUUUCAGUGGUCCAAAUCCUUUUCUUUUGAUCCAACUUCCUCCAAAUUGUGUUCUACAGCAUCCAAGGAUUCCAUUUUGCCCAUAAUCACUUAUACCCUUUGCACUCCAUUUUUCUGAAUUCAGCUCCAAAGAUAGCUAGUUGUCACGGUUUCAAACUUAGGCAUAAUUUUCAGUUCAGCAGUCAAGCUGACUGUGGUAAAGUGCUAACUUUGAGCUUCCAUUUGAAAUGGUUCCCUCUACUGUUCCUGAUCAACAACACCUGAAGAUACUUGUCCA
rnacentral:lncRNA from 1 species